CGAAACUCUUCUCAGUCACAAUCCUCUUCAUACUUUCAAUCGCCUCGGUCGUCCUGAUCUCCUUUUGCGAUGCUCAGGGGGGCAAAUCCGUGUUGAAAGAUGUGCGGAAACCGUUGAAACUUCAAGAAACGGUGUUAACGCACCUCACUUUCUACUGGCACGAGUCGUUCGUCGGCCCCAAUGCGUCCGCUGUCAUUAUAGCCGGAGUUAAUUCCACCGACUCAGCUACAAGAGCAUUCGGUACUACGUAUGCUUACGACAAUCCUCUGACGAUAGAGCCUAUAGUCCCUACAACAACGAGUGAGGUUGUCGGUAGAGCACAAGGAUAUUACACCAUGUAUCCAAGUGACGAUGAGAUAGCAAUUGGUGUGAUAAUGAACGUCGCUUUGAAGGAGGAGAUGUUUGCCGAUAGUAUUUUGACGUUCGAAGGGAGGAUUUUAUCUGGUACCGGUUUUAUAAGAGAGGUUCCGGUGAUCGGAGGAAGUGGUGUGUUUAGGUAUGCUACUGGAUAUUAUCAGUCUCAAAUGCUUAACUCUGAUUCAAUCACUGGUCAAAAUAUCGUUAUGUUCGAUAUUUACGUUAAUAUGCUUUCGGAACCUCUUACUAAAUCCAUAUAAUAAGUAAUUAUAUCUAUGCUUAAUUAUAUAAAGAUGUGAAAACCCUAUUUACAUAUAAAGGGUUUGAAUGUAAUAUUAAUUAUGAAAUUAAUUACGUCUUUUCCCCUACCUAAUUAAUCUCUUAAUUUGAACAUCUUUUAGUUGGAGGAAGCAAGGAGAUUUCUCACGAUAACUAUUAAAGUUUUUGAAUGUUUAAGAAUCUAUUCUCGAUGUGUGAGUAAUUUUCAUUUAAUUUUCAAUAUGAUGUAACUAAUGAUAUAUUAUAUAGUUAUGAUAUAUCACUCGAAAGUAGGUAACUUCAGUUAUCAAAAAAAAUCUCCAAGUUGAAAAAGAUGUGUUAAUUAAGAAAUACCUUAAUCCCUAAUUAAAAUGAGUUCAACCUUGCUAAUCUGAUCAAUCGACACGGAGAGAUUAGCAGUUCACAUGACCAGACAUUUUUAAGGUUUUUAAAGAUUUAAAAUUUGAGUCUUGUGAUAUAUCAUUGGUAGGUAGACAUUUUUAGAGGUAUCUUCUGUUAUCUAAAAAAUCGAUCUACUGUUAAAAAAAUUAUGAAACAACAAUGCUCACUUUAGGAUUGAAACAUACAACUAAAGUCUUUAUUGUUUAAGCGGCAUACUGUGUUUGGACUAUCUUCUGUUAUCUAAUAACCUGGAGGUUGAGAAAUAAACACAGUUUCUUUUAACUCUCCUUGAAAGAAAGCAUUUUUCACAUUCAACUGUCUAUUUACAAAUAGAGAACAACAUUCUAAUUGUAGAGGUUUUAACUACUAAUUGUUUAAGCGGCAUACUAUAUAUUAGUCUAUAAUAAACAUUAAAAAAUGAUUACGAACGGAUUAAGGACGACUUAGAGAAGUAAAAAUAUUUAGAAAUGGAAAUAAAAAUUUGGACGGCAAAUUAAUGACAUGGAAAAAUAAUUAACGACGACCAAGUGAAAUUGCACGCCAAUCCUCGUGUGCGCCAAACAAAAUUAUUAGCGACGGCGAAGACACUCCUUAAUUAGCCGUCCCUAGCUAAAACAUGGCCACCCCUAGCUAAACACAUGGGUGCCGCAGAAAAUUACUUUGAUUUAAAACUAAAUUGUCAAGAGUCAAUUACAAUCGAUAUCACUAAACUAUUUAUAAUGCCAUAAGUCGUUUGCUUAUUUAAGCAACUAACUGUUUUAUUAACUAACUCUAAUCAACUUGAAUUUAUCUAAGAUUGAUUAACUGAUUUAUGUGAUAAAUGUCAGUAAUUAUUCUUCUGACAAUAUAUAAGGGUCGCAUAAUAUAUUAUCGAUUAAUAAAACUCUGAACCUUCUGCAAUCUUUAUAGUUUUCAGUGAUCAGUUGAAUUAUAUAUUUUAUCUUUAAUUUCUUUUACAGACUUUUUUUGGGUUGGAUUAAAAACGUUUAAAACCAUGUAAAAAUUAUCUGCAGACAUUAAUUGUGUAAUUUAUGACAAUCUUCUCAAUUGUAUAUUGUUACACGUAAGUUGAGACACGUAUUCCGACACGUAAGUUGAUAUGGUUAUUAAUGAUACACGUAUUCCACUACAAGAGAAAGACUUUUUUACGAUAAGAUAAAAGAUAAAAGACAUAAGAUAAAAGACAAUGUUGAACAUCAAUCAUUGAAGAUAAAAGAUAAGAUAUUGAGAUGUAGCAAUCAACAAUUUUUUUAUAAAUACAACCCUAGCUUUUGAGGAUACAAUUAACUAUCAAUUCGUCACUUCAAUUUAAUUCCAAUGGCGAAAAACUUCUCUUGCAGUUCUAAGGAGGGGAGAUCUGUGUUGAAAGAUGUGGGAAAAUCACCAAAACUUCCAGAACCGGUGUUAACCCAUCUCAAGUUCUACUGGCACGAGUCGUUUGUGGGUUCUGAUGCGUCUGCAAUCAUUGUAGCCGGACCUAAUUCCACCAACUCCGCUCCAAGAGAAUUCGGCACUACGUAUGUUUACAACAAUCCACUGACGAUCGAACCUAUAGUCCCUACCACAACGACUGAGGUUGUCGGGAACGCACAAGGAUAUUACAUCAUUUAUCCAGGUGAUGGGGAUGUCACGAUGGGUGUGAUAAUGAACUUGGUGUUGAAGGAGGAGAUAUUUAAAGAUAGUAUUUUGACGUUUGAAGGAAGGAUUUUAUCUGGUACCAAUAUUGUAAGGGAGGUUCCGGUGAUCGGAG
rnacentral:lncRNA from 1 species